rnacentral:rRNA from 1 species
UGGGGAAUAUUGGACAAUGGGCGAAAGCCUGAUCCAGCCAUGCCGCGUGUGUGAAGAAGGUCUUCGGAUUGUAAAGCACUUUAAGUGGGGAGGAAGGGCAGUAAGCGAAUACCUUGCUGUUUUGACGUUACCGACAGAAUAAGCACCGGCUAACUCUGUGCCAGCAGCCGCGGUAAUACAGAGGGUGCAAGCGUUAAUCGGAAUUACUGGGCGUAAAGCGCGCGUAGGUGGUUCGUUAAGUUGAAUGUGAAAGCCCCGGGCUCCACCUGGGAACUGCAUCAAAAACUGGCGAGCUAGAGUAUGGCAGACGGUGGUGGGAUUUCCUGUCUAGCGGUGAAAUGCGUAGAAAUCUGGAGGAAUACCGAUGGCGAAGGCAGCCAUCUGGCCUAACACUGACGCUGAGGUACGAAUGCAUGGGGAGCAAACAGG